CCCGCCGUGGGUUUACAUCAACACAGUUUCAAGAUAUUGCCAAUGUUUUGCUUGCACACCCGAAGGUUGGUUUAUUUAUGGAUGCAGCUUUUGGAUCAGUUCGCGUGGUUGUUAGUUAUCUUGAGAUUACAUUGAUAGCUUGCUACAAAGAUUUUUCCAUGGAAUCCAAUCUUUCAUCUGGACCAGUAGUAUAUUUUCUCCGCCAGCAAUGUGAGGCUUCUCUACCGUUUAUUCGGUCAUUGUGCCAGCAUGUUCUGCACACACAGCUGCACCCAAAAAGAAGUUGAGCGUGCUCGUAGAAGCCACUUGGGAUUAAUUGUCCAUGUCCCUGCACAGAAUGAAAGUAUAAGUAGUUUUGUGAGCAAGAUGAAUUUUGUGGAUAUAGCAGGUUAUGGAGAUGCUAGAAGGAAAAACGAUGAAAGUCGAGUUCUCUUUCGGGAAAGUAAACUCACACGCAUGUUGCAGGACUCUUUGAGGGGAACUAGCAAAGUAAAGGAAAAACGAUGAAAGUCGAGUUCUCUUUCGGGAAAGUAAACUCAC
rnacentral:lncRNA from 1 species